rnacentral:lncRNA from 1 species
CUCUGUUAAAAGACCUUUAAAACAAACUGUAAACAUGUUGUCUUCGCCAUAGCAUAGAUUUACGAAAUCUGUAUCUUCUUUUCUUAUGUUGAUUUUUUUUUCUUUGCAGGAACCGCAGUAUUUCCGGCGUCGUGUUGUAACUUCGUUGCUACAGUUAUUUUUUUCAAAAUUAAAGAAAACUGCAAUAACACCAUUAUCAAAAUUUUAAAUUGUGAUUCAAGAGAAACAAUAACUUUAUCCAAUUUUUUUUCCCAAGUGUGUGUAUCAGUGUAUCAGCACAUGAAUUUGAUAAAUCAGUUCUAUUUAUACACAGUGUUUACAGUUUUACGGGCAAAAAGG